rnacentral:rRNA from 1 species
CUGGUCUUGACAUCCCGGUGAAUGCAGGGCAAUGCCUGCAGCCCUUCGGGGCACUGGAGACAGGUGGUGCAUGGUUGUCGUCAGCUCGUGUCGUGAGAUGUUGGGUUAAGUCCCGCAACGAGCGCAACCCUUAUCCUUAGUAGCCAGCGGCUAGGCCGGGCACUCUAGGGAGACUGCCGGGGACAACCCGGAGGAAGGCGGGGAUGACGUCAAAUCAUCAUGCCCCUUAUGGCCAGGGCUACACACGUGCUACAAUGGCGCAAACAGAGGGAAGCGGACCGGUGACGGCGAGCGAAUCCCAAAAAGUGCGUCUCAGUUCGGAUUGUAGUCUGCAACUCGACUACAUGAAGCCGGAAUCGCUAGUAAUCGCGGAUCAGAAUGCCGCGGUGAAUACGUUCCC